UUAUGCCAGUAGUGGCUCAGCUCCUGACCUCAGGAACUGGAGACCACGCUUGAGUCCAAGAUUGAGCCAGCGGCCUGAGAAAGUCUCUAGAGUCGCUCAGCUACACGAGCUAGUGAACUCCGUACCUCUAUAUGGAGGCCGCCCCCUCUGGGUCCUGGUGGGAGGCUGUGUCCCAGAGCCUGCUGAAAUGUGGCCCUGCAUGGCUGUGGGUCUGGUGAGAGCCCGGUCGCUUGUGAUGAGUCUGAGCAAGAGCAAACACCUGGUUCCAAGCCAUUGGCCCGGAGGAGGGGAGCACAGGCAGGCUGUUGGUCUCCUCAGACACUGAGGAGGGCAUGGAUGCUCGAAUGCCUGGGGGGUUUGAGAUCAUCCAUUUCCAUGGCGCCCAGCCAGAUGACCCCAUUCCAGAUUUCAGGGUCCCUCUGUGUUCCAGUCGGUGCCCUCACUCGCACAUGAGAAACUUGUCGAGACUGCGGAUUACUGUUGUCACUUGGUGACCUGCAAACUGAAAUGAGUGUUUUCAGCAGUGUCAGCCCCACGCUACAAGGAAUUUGGGGACCAGGCAUAGAAGUUCUCCCCUGCUCUGAGCAGAGCAAACAGACCUGAGACUGUCAUUGUCUGUGAGUGCUCAAGGGCACUUCGCAAAAUGUGUCCAGCACCUGCCUAUCUUUAGAGUUGUCAUUACUGCCACAGUAGUCAGGUGCCGCGGCCGCAGGGCUCACGUGCUUCAGUUGGCACCUUGUGUGUCAUCCGUGUCCCCUCCUCCCCUCCAGCGCUGGACUGUGGUGCCACCAUACGUGCACCCCAGAUUUCUACACCCCACUUCCUGCUGUGCCCCAAAGGCAGGAGCCACACCAACCCAAAAUCCCCUCCUUGUGAGCCUGUCUCCUGGAAUGUACCAGAUGCCAAUGCUGUGUCAGUGUGGAUCCAAUCAGGAAAGAAAAACUACACAGCUGGAACAGCAAACCCUGCAGGUCUGAUACCACCGCAGAAGCCGAGGGAGAAGGCCCAGCAGGGGGCAGACCCGAGCUCCCUCCCGGGGAACUCCGAAGAGCUUCAGGCUUGGGGCUCCGCCUCCCCACCCCCGCCCCAGACGCUUUUACCCUCAUACUUGACAGCGCCUCCCAGCUUCAGGAUGAAAUAGGCACCCGCGGCGUAAGGACCGUAGCGCUCUCUGAUGUAGGUGAAGGGCCUGUGGAGAGAAAAGUGGCUGAGGGUGAGGCCGGGGGACCACGGCACCCCAUCGUCACACUCCGAUGCUGCGAGGGUCAGCGUCCACAACACCAGCACUGAGCCAGGCCGCAAACAUUUACUGAGCAUCUAUUAAAAGUGCCGGGCACCCAAAAGAUAGUGGUCCCUAUCCUGAGGCUAACUGGCAGAAGGAAACGGAUAACAACCCAGAAGUUAAGAGCAAACCGCAGAAUCAGUUCCGUGAUGAAGGAGGUGGCGCUCCAGCAGAGAUUUGAGUGGUGGGAAGAAAUUCAAAGGUCAAGGCAACAGCUAGUGCAAAGGCUCCGAGGCUCAAAUCAGAAUGGCGGAACAAACAGCAAGAUUUACUGAGCACCUACCACGUGGCUUUACACUGUUUUGCUGAGGUUACUGUGGUGAACAAGACAGACCAAGCCCUUAUCUUCCGGAGCUAACAUUCCAGGCUGGGAGAGGAUAGACAAGAAACAAAUGAGGACACCUUCGCCAGGUGGACAUCCAGCUGCUGGGUCAGCUUUGCAGUCUGGGGCUGGAGAUGGGGGCGCUGCGGGAGGAACUGUUCACCUUCCUGGAAGAGGACGAGGAGAGCCUCAUCGAGGAGGAGGAGGAGGAGG